CCUACGGGAGGCAGCAGUGGGGAAUUUUGGACAAUGGGCGCAAGCCUGAUCCAGCAAUGCCGCGUGGAGGAAGAAGGCCUUCGGGUUGUAAACUGCUUUUGUACGGAAAGAAAAGGCUAUCGUUAAUACACGGGGCUCAUGACGGUACCGUAAGAAUAAGCCCCG
rnacentral:rRNA from 1 species